AGAGUUUGAUCCUGGCUCAGGACGAACGCUGGCGGCGUGCUCAACACAUGCAAGUCGAACGGAAAGGCCCUUCGGGGUACUCGAGUGGCGAACGGGUGAGUAACACGUGGGUGAUCUGCCCUGCACUUUGGGAUAAGCCUGGGAAACUGGGUCUAAUACCGAAUAUGACCACGCUCUUCAUGGGGUGUGGUGGAAAGCUUUUGCGGUGUGGGAUGGGCCCGCGGCCUAUCAGCUUGUUGGUGGGGUAAUGGCCUACCAAGGCGACGACGGGUAGCCGGCCUGAGAGGGUGACCGGCCACACUGGGACUGAGAUACGGCCCAGACUCCUACGGGAGGCAGCAGUGGGGAAUAUUGCACAAUGGGCGCAAGCCUGAUGCAGCGACGCCGCGUGAGGGAUGACGGCCUUCGGGUUGUAAACCUCUUUCACCAGGGACGAAGCGCAAGUGACGGUACCUGGAGAAGAAGCACCGGCCAACUACGUGCCAGCAGCCGCGGUAAUACGUAGGGUGCGAGCGUUGUCCGGAAUUACUGGGCGUAAAGAGCUCGUAGGUGGUUUGUCGCGUUGUUCGUGAAAACUCACAGCUUAACUGUGGGCGUGCGGGCGAUACGGGCAGACUAGAGUACUGCAGGGGAGACUGGAAUUCCUGGUGUAGCGGUGGAAUGCGCAGAUAUCAGGAGGAACACCGGUGGCGAAGGCGGGUCUCUGGGCAGUAACUGACGCUGAGGAGCGAAAGCGUGGGGAGCGAACAGGAUUAGAUACCCUGGUAGUCCAA
rnacentral:rRNA from 1 species